GACGAACGCUGGCGGCGUGCUUAAUACAUGCAAGUCAACUGAAUUUGAGGUAGCAAUAUCUCAAGUAAGGUGGCGCACGGGUGAGUAACACGUAGGUAAUCUGCCUUUAGGACUGACAUAACCUAUCGAAAGGUAGGCUAAUAUCAGAUGAUGCAGCGGCUCGACAUCGAGACAGUUGUUAAACCUUCGGGCCUGAAGAUGAGCCUGCGUCUGAUUAGGUAGUUGGCGGAGUAAAAGCCCACCAAGCCUGCGAUCAGUAGCUGGUCUGAGAGGAUGAUCAGCCACACUGGAACUGANACACGGUCCAGACUCCGUACGGGAGCAGCAGUAAGGAAUAUUGCUCAAUGGCCGAAAGGCUGAAGCAGCAACGCCGCGUGGAGGAUAG
rnacentral:rRNA from 1 species